rnacentral:lncRNA from 1 species
AGACCUGGGAUGGGGAGGCAGUGGGAGGAAACAGGUUGUCCAGCAACAUCAACGGAGGGUGGAGCAACUGCAGUUCACCACCUGAUCCGACCACAGCAUCCUUGAGGCUCCCAGCUCCCUGCUCGCCUUUAUGGAGCUGGUACAGUAGCAGGCAAGGGCCACCCAGGGCGUGGGACCCAUCCUGGUGCACUGCAGGUGACAGCAGCUCCUCAGGGGCUGUCCCUGCGGUGUGGGCAUGGGCCGGACAGGCACCUUCGUGGCCCUGUCGAGGCUGCUGCAGCAGCUGGAGGAGGAGCAGAUGGUAGACGUGUUCCAUGCUGUGUAUGCACUCCGGAUGCACCAGCCCCUCAUGAUCCAGACCCUGAGCCAGUACGUCUUCCUGCACAGCUGCCUACUGAACAAGAUUCUGGAAGGACCCUUCAACAUCUCUGAGUCUUGGCCCAUCUCUGUGACGGACCUCCCGCAGGCGUGUGCCAAGAGGGCAGCCAGUGCCAAUGCUGGCUUCUUGAAGGAGUACGAGCUCUUGCUGUAGGCCAUCAAGGACGAGGCUGGCUUUUCCGCACCCCCGCCUGGCUAUGAGCAGGACAGCCCCGUCUCCUGUGACCGUUCUCAGGGGCAGUUUUCUCCGGUGGAGGAGAGCCCCCCUGACGACAUGCCCGA